rnacentral:tRNA from 1 species
GGAGAAAUGGCUCAGUGGUUAAGAGCACUGGCUGCUCUUCCAGAGGUCCCGGGUUCAAUUCCCAGCAUCCA